rnacentral:rRNA from 1 species
UGGCUCAGAUUGAACGCUGGCGGAAUGCUUUACACAUGCAAGUCGAACGGCAGCACGGACUUCGGUCUGGUGGCGAGUGGCGAACGGGUGAGUAACAUAUCGGAACGUAUCCAAUAAUGGGGGAUAACUAAUCGAAAGGUUGGCUAAUACCGCAUACGACCUACGGGUGAAAGGGGGCGCAAGCUCUUGCUAUUAGAUGAGCCUAAAUCAGAUUAGCUAGUUGGUGGGGUAAAGGCCCACCAAGGCGACGAUCUGUAACUGGUCUGAGAGGAUGAUCAGUCACACCGGAACUGAGACACGGUCCGGACUCCUACGGGAGGCAGCAGUGGGGAAUAUUGGACAAUGGGGGCAACCCUGAUCCAGCCAUGCCGCGUGUGUGAAGAAGGCCUUUUGGUUGUAAAGCACUUUAAGCAGGGAGGAGAGGCUAAUGGUUAAUACCCAUUAGAUUAGACGUUACCUGCAGAAUAAGCACCGGCUAACUCUGUG